GCAUAACAUAUAUUAUUCAUUGUUUUUGAACUUCUGUUCUUCAUCCCAAUACAAACCUCAACUAUUGGUUGACUGAAGCGAUAGCAGCAGCAUGAAAAUUGAAAGAGGGUUUUUCAAGCUCAUGCAUGACAAUAAAAGCCAACCAUAUACAUAUACAGUCCAUCUAAAAAUGGACUGAUCAUUCAAUUUACAUAAAAAUAUUUACCUACAAUUAUACCAUAUGAAAUUUAUUUUUUUGAGCUCGUCAAGGAAUCCAUGACCUGAGCCAAAUUAAUUACCCUGUGAGUUUGUCAAGCCGGGAGUCCAUGAUCUGGGAGACAGUUUCAAGAAACACAGCUUCACUCAUGCCAGGGAGCAGGGAAUCCUCUGCUUCACGAACAAUCUCCUCGAUCACUGAUUCCUUAUUCAGGGUUUCUCUGCACAUGAUACUUCCAAUGGCAAAGGGAGUGAGACCUCUCUUUACCCCUCUCUUCAGAAGCAUGGUGGAGAUUCUAAGUGUACGAGCAGACUCAAGAGGAAUGUCCCACCCAUAACAUUUCAGAAGUGCGAUAUCUUGUUCUGCAUCCAGUGAAUCUAUGUAAUCAAUUACCUUAGGCGAGUAAGGCUGGUGGGCUUGAGGCCAGUAGAGCCAAUCAAAUGUGCAAUCUUCAAAUUUCUCGGGCAAGCAAUAACCAUGAUCAAUUGGAAUGAGCUUUAUCUGACCAUCCUCCCCUUUGCCAACCAAUAUAUUUCCUGCAUGCCUAUCUGUGUUGGCCAUUCUCAUAUCUAACACACUGAUCUUGUGCACCUCUUCCACUGGGAAAGCCCCAGGUCCCAUUUCAUCGCAACUCCCUUCAUUCUUCAUAAACAUCUGUAAAGAUCCGGUCUUUACAUUUUUCAUUGCAUAUUCAUAUCCUUCCGGAUAGUUGAAUCCUUCAUGCAAGCAUUGAACAAUUAUAGUAGGAGGUACACCAGCAAAGCCCAUAACCUCACCAGUUAAUGCCCUUGGACCACUUCUUGGAUGAUCCAAUAAGUAUGCUGCUACUUCCCUCA
rnacentral:misc_RNA from 1 species